GGGGUAGUAGCUCAAUCGGUAGAGUACUCGCUUUGCAUGCGAGGGGCACGGGGAUCGAAACCCUGCUACUCCA